AUGACCACAUCACCAACAUCAUCAUUACCACCAUCACCACAUCCCCACUGCCAUCAUUACCACCAUCACCAUAUCACCACCACCACCAUUACCUCCAUCACCACAUCUCCAACAUCAUUACCAUCACCACAUCUCCACCAACAUCAUUACCACCAUCACUACAUCAUCACCACCAUCACCACACCCCGACCAUCAUUACCACCAUUGCCACACCACCAUCACCGCCAUCAUUACCACCAUCACAUCACCUCCAUCAUUACCACAAUCACUACAUCAUCACCAUCAUCACCACCAUCACCACACCACCACCACCACCAUUACCACCAUCACCACAUCACCUCCAUCAUUACCACCAUCACUACAUCAUUACCAUCACCACACCACCACCACCAUCAUUACCACCAUCACCAUAUCCUCACCAACAUCAUUACCACCAUCAGAACAUCACCUACAUCAUUACCACCAUCACUACAUCAUCACCACCAUCAUUACCAUCAUCACUACAUCACCACCACCAUCAUUACCACCAUCACCACAUCACUGCCACCAUUACCACCAUCACAUCACCACCACCAUCAUUACCAUCAUCACCACAUCACCACCAUCACUACAUCACCAUCACAAUCACCACUAUCACAUCACCACCACCAUCAUUACCACCAUUACCAUCAUCACCACCACCAUCAUUACCAUCAUCACCACAUCAUCACCACAUCACCACCACCAUCACCACCAUCACUACAUCACCACCACAAUCACCACUAUCACAUCACCACCACCACCAUUACCACCAUCACACCACCACCACCAUCACCACAUCACCACCACAAUCACAUCACUAUCACCAUUACCACCAUCACCACAUCACCACACCAUCAUCACCACCAUCACCACAUCACCACCACCAUCAUUACCACCAUCACAUCACCACCACCAUUACCAUCAUUACCACAUCACCACCAUCACCAUAUCACCACCACCAUCAUUACCACCAUCACCACAUCACCACCAUCAUUACCACCAUCACUACAUCACCACCACCAUCAUUACUACCAUCACCACAUCAUCACAACCACCAUUACCAUCACAUCACCACCACCACCAUUACCAUCACAUCACCACCACCAUUACCACCAUCACCACAUAAUCACCAUCAUUACCACCAUCACAUCACCACCACUAUCAUCACAUCAUCACCACCAUUACCACCAUCACCACAUAAUCACCAUCAUUACCACCAUCACCACAUCACCACCAUUACCAUCACAUCACCACCAUUACCACCAUCAUAUCACCACCACCAUUACCAUCAUUACCACAUCACCAUCAUCACCAUAUCACCACCACCAUCAUUACCACCAUCACCACAUCACCACCACCAUUACCACCAUCACAUCACCACCAUCAUCAGUACCACCAUCACCAUAUCACCACCAUUAUCAUCACCACUAUCACCACCACUACCCUUAUGACCACAUCACUGCUACCAGUGGCCCUAGCCCCACCUCGUCAUCUCUGCUCCAAUCACCCCAGUCACCAUCACUUCCAUCACCAGGAUCCCCACCUCCCUUACAAUUAUACCAUCCAUUACCAUACUUACCACUGCAAGUGAUUUGUCAUUGUCACCAUCAUCAGUGUAGGAAGUGA
rnacentral:lncRNA from 1 species